UGGCGGCCUGGCUUUAAACAUGGCAAGUCGGAACGAUGAACCACCUUCGGGUGGGGAUUAGUGGCGAAUGGGUAAAGUAACACGUGGGCAAUCUGCCCUGCACUCUGCGGACAAGCCCUGGAAACGGGGUCUAAUACCGGAUACUGACCUGCCAAGGCAUCUUGGCGGGUCGAAAGCUCCGGCGGUGCAGGAUGAGCCCGCGGCCUAUCAGCUUGUUGGUGAGGUAAUGGCUCACCAAGGCGACGACGGGUAGCCGGCCUGAGAGGGCGACCGGCCACACUGGGACUGAGACACGGCCCAGACUCCUACGGGAGGCAGCAGUGGGGAAUAUUGCACAAUGGGCGCAAGCCUGAUGCAGCGACGCCGCGUGAGGGAUGACGGCCUUCGGGUUGUAAACCUCUUUUCAGCAGGGAAGAAGCGAAAGUGACGGUACCUGCAGAAGAAGCGCCGGCUAACUACGUGCCAGCAGCCGCGGUAAUACGUAGGGCGCAGCCUUUGCCGGAAAUUAUUUGGGCGUUAAGAGUUCGAAGGCGGCUUGUCCCCUUCCGGUUGUUGAAACCCCGGGGCUUAACCCCCCGGGUCUGCAGUCAAUACGGGCAGGGCUAAAGUUCGGGUAGGGGAAAAAUGGAAAUUUCCUGGGGUGUACCGGUUGAAAAUGCCCCAAAAUUUCAGGAGGGAACCCCCGGGGGGCGAAAGGGCGAAUCCCCUGGGCCCGAAU
rnacentral:rRNA from 1 species